rnacentral:rRNA from 1 species
UGCGGUAAUUCCAGCUCCAAUAGUGUAUAUUAAAGUUGCUGUGAUUAAAACGCUCGUAGUUGAAUUAAAAUGUGAUUUUAUACAUUUUGAAGACUUUACAUUAAGUGAAGUUUCUAGAAAUGUUAAAUUAAAAUCAAAGAAGGAGACAAUUCAAGUAAUUGAGUUGUCAUUACUUUGAAUAAAAUAAGGUGUUUAAAGCAAAACAUUAUGUUAAUGAAUAUUCAAGCAUGGGACAAUGCUGAGGAGAUGUCAAUUAGACAUUUCGAGAGAAGGAUUAAAAGGAACAAUUGGGGUGAUUCAGAAAAUAACGGGAGAGGUGAAAAUCCAUGAUCGCUAUAAGAUGCACGAGAGCGAAAGCAUUUCAC